rnacentral:misc_RNA from 1 species
AAGUAAUCAGCUGGCGGAACUACGCCGACACCAACAGCAGAGCCUGGGAAGAAUCCCCAGUUCGGGUACUGUGGCACUGGGGUGAAACCGCCCCAAUUCGGCCUCCAGCCGGGAGCCGGCGCCCGAUUGCCGUAGCUAUUGUUGGAGCGGGGGCUGCCGUUGCCGCCACCGCCACCGCCGCCCCUGUGGUUCUGGAACCUCGGGUUCCUGCCGCGCCGGUGGUGCGAGGCGGAGAUCCUGGGCUGGUCGGCAUUGCGAGGGGACACCGGCAGGACUGGGGCCGGAGCGGGAGGCGGCACCGCCGGGGAUACAGCCACCGCCGCGGCGACUGUCACCGCCACCGCGUCGUCAUGGGAUGAGGGAUCGGAGGAAGAUGAGGCGGAGGAGGAGAAGAGAUCGGGGGUGGUGUUAGGGCUGUCAGCGGCGGCGGGCGGAGGAGAGGGGCUGUGGUGAUGAGGUGGAUGAUCGGGGGAUUCCAGCUUAGGGUUUGGGUUUGAGGUGAGCGCAGGCCAGGAGGAGGGGGGCUCGCCGAUGAGGGUGAGGGCGGUGGGAGCAGCGGCGGCAGGGCAGGGGGUGAUGCGCCAGGGG